GUGUCAGCCGCCGCGGUAAUACGGGGGGGGCAAGCGUUGUUCGGAAUUACUGGGCGUAAAGGGCUCGUAGGCGGCCAACUAAGUCAGACGUGAAAUCCCUCGGCUUAACCGGGGAACUGCAUCUGAUACUGGAUGGCUUGAGAUUGGGAGAGGGAUGCGGAAUUCCAGGUGUAGCGGUGAAAUGCGUAGAUAUCUGGAGGAACACCGGUGGCGAAGGCGGCAUCCUGGACCAACACUGACGCUGAGGAGCGAAAGCCAGGGGAGCAAACGGGAUUAGAAACCCCCGUAGUCC
rnacentral:rRNA from 1 species